AUGUAUGUAUGUAUGCAUGUAUGCAUGUAUGCAUGCAUGCAUGCCUGCUCUCACAGGU
rnacentral:miRNA from 1 species